rnacentral:rRNA from 1 species
GCCUACGGGAGGCAGCAGUGGGGAAUUUUGCGCAAUGGGCGAAAGCCUGACGCAGCAACGCCGCGUGAGUGAUGAAGGCUUUCGGGUCGUAAAGCUCUGUCGAGGGGAAAGAAGUGUAUUGUGGUUAAUACCCGCGAUACUUGACGGUACCCCUAAAGGAAGCACCGGCUAACUCCGUGCCAGCAGCCGCGGUC